GACGAACGCUGGCGGCGUGCUUAACACAUGCAAGUCGAACGGAAAGGCCCUGCUUGCAGGGUACUCGAGUGGCGAACGGGUGAGUAACACGUGGGUGAUCUGCCCUGCACUUCGGGAUAAGCCUGGGAAACUGGGUCUAAUACCGGAUAGGAGCCACUUUUAGUGUGAUGGUUGGAAAGUUUUUUCGGUGUAGGAUGAGCUCGCGGCCUAUCAGCUUGUUGGUGGGGUAAUGGCCUACCAAGGCGGCGACGGGUAGCCGGCCUGAGAGGGUGGACGGCCACAUUGGGACUGAGAGACGGCCCAGACUCCUACGGGAGGCAGCAGUGGGGAAUAUUGCACAAUGGUCGCAAGGCUGAUGCAGCGACGCCGCGUGGGGGAUGACGGCCUUCGGGUUGUAAACUCCUUUCGCUAGGGACGAAGCUUUUUGUGACGGUACCUAGAGAAGAAGCACCGGCUAACUACGUG
rnacentral:rRNA from 1 species